rnacentral:rRNA from 1 species
CCCUUAGAUGCUCUGGGCCGCACGCGCGCUACAAUGGUCUUCGCAAACGGAUGCAUUCUCGAAGGAGAAUGCCAAUCUUGGAAUCUAUGCCUUGGUCGGGACAGUUGCUUGCAAUUUUUCGACUCGAACCAGGAAUUCCUUGUAAUCGUGAUUCAUCACAUCACGAUGAAUACGUCCCUGCCCUUUGUACACACCGCCCGUCGCUCCUACCGAUCGAAGAGUUAGGUGAAUUGUUUUGAUCGAUAAGAUUUGACUAUGGUCAACUCUCGUUGUGAAAUUCUGUGAAUCUGACUGUUUAGAGGAAGGAAAAGUCGUAACA